AGGGAUUUCAGCAUAGCUUGGCCUUUUGUCUGUCAGUGUAGCAAGGGGUUUAGAAGCAGAGAUUGGUCCGCUUAUAGAAUGCCUCUGCAUAGGGGAUACAGCAGCAGCUGGGGGAGUCUUCAUGGGACUUGGACUCAGAGGAGUGCGAGGAAUUGUGGCAGCAGCAGGACUUGGAACUUGGGAGGCACUGUCAAAGGACUUGAUGAGUGUUUUGACAGUCGGAGUUGGCUCUGAGGAGGUGGAUGAUCUGCGGCUCAGGCCCAUUCCCUGUCUCAGAGCUGCCAAAUCUCUCUCUACAGCAUUCAUGUAAUUGUACACUCGCCCGCGUUCCUCUUCCUGCUUGCGUGACUUGAUUUCCUCCAACUCCUUAGUGAGCUUCUCAUUUUUUUCCUGAGCUUCGUGUAAUCUUCGCUUUAGGUCUCCUAUCUCUUCCUGGGCCUCAGACUUUAUAUCAUUUGCUAUAACCACUGCAGUCUGGAGAUCAGCUUGGAACUGACGCCAUUCUGCUGACUCCUCCCGCAGUCUCCUGUGAAGAUUCUUUAUCUCUCUUUCCAUGUCAUGCUUUUGGUCCUGAAGUUUUUUAACUGUAUUCUCCAAAUCAGAUAUGAUGAGGUUGUCAUGAAGCUUCACAGCACGAUGCUGCUCUACUUCAUCCUCCAACUCAAAGAUAGUUUCUUUCAUGUCACUUCUCUCAGUUUCUUUCUCAUCUAGCUCUGCCCGAAGUUUUUCUAGAGUCACGUUAAGAUCCUCUAUUUGUUUCUUGGCUUCUUCUUGGAAUACUCUGUACUCAUCUUCAACCUUAGCAAUGGCAUCUUGCAAGCGAUUGGCAUCAUUGCGAGUGUGCGCCAGCUCCUCUUGCAGACUGCUGGCCAGUGUCUCUGCUUUUUCUUUAUCCAGCCUGACACUCUCCAGCAAAUCUUGUAUAUCUGAUUUGUCUCCAGAGUUGUGUAUCGAAUACAACUCAGCCACCUUCUGCUUCUCGUGCUCUAGCUGAGCUUUCAGCCUGUUCAUCUCUAUCUGGUCGCUGGCUACCGUGGCUUUGUACUCCUCUAAGGUCGAUGCUAUUGCUGUUUUGCUCUUCUGCUCUGACUCAAUGAUCCGUUCCAUGUGGUGAUUGCGUUCUUUCAACGCCCCUAUCAUUUCUUGGGCCUCCUUAUUGUCUUGUUCUGCCAUCUUCAAGGUGUUGCUCAAGUGCUGCUGAACACCUAGCAGCUGCUCCCGCUCAAAUCGGGCGUUCUCUGCAAGGUCCAUGUAACGCUGCUCCAACUCCAUGUAGCGACCACUUUUCAUAUCUUCAUCAAUCACAUAGGAAAUAUGGUGUUCAUCUAAAAGAGACCGAAAAUACUCUAUCUGACGGCUGAAAUGUUCCAACUUAUCGCUUUGCUGGCACAAAGAUUCCAUCAGGAUUACUUUUUCCUCUCCCAGUCUUUCAUUCUCGCUGUUUAGCUCUUGCGUUAUUUGCUGCAGAUCUGCAAGCUCUUGAAGCGUGGCUUGGAGCUCUUCUGCUGUGCUGUGCUGGUUCUCUUCCAUCUGAUGUAUCCGCUCUGUCAGACAAGCUACGGACACUUCGCUCGCGUUGCCACUGCUUCCCUUUCUAGAUCUUUCUAUACUUGGUACGCCUUCAGACUCUGAAGAUGACGGAGCAUCUAAAGCAUCAUCACUCGAUGUCAGUGGCUGAUAAACUUCACUGCACUCACUAUCUAAAUUAUCCAUGGAGUUACUAUGUUGGUUGUCCAUCAGAGUGUGUUCAUCCUGACUUAGCAAAUCUUCCAUCGAUCCAGGAGCAGAACCUUCCACAGAAGAUGUCAGAGUACCACCGCCAUCACUGUGGUUGCCAGCUGUAAUCUCCGGACUCAAAGACUGAUAGCCAAAGAGUUUCUCAGAGUUGUCCAGCCUUUGUUCCAAAGAGAAGCCUAAUGCAUUUAGUCUGUCUUUUAACAUUCGGUUCUCAUUCUUCAGCUGGUUGAGCUCUUCUCGGAUGGCAGUGUUUUGUUCCUGUAACUGUAGCAACGUAGACUCUACAUCAGUUGGCUGAUGGACAACAAUGGCCUCUUUUUCUUCAGAUUUUUCAUCACCUUCAACUUGGUCUUCGUUAAGUCCCAGCUGAGCACGCAUGUCCCUUAGUUCAUUUCUCAGAUGCAAGAUUUCCACAUCUUUAGUUUUUGCUAACGUCAGAAGAUCAUUCACCUUUGCUUCCAAUGCAGCUUUGUCACUGAUCUGAUUGUCUGAUUUGGACUUGCUCAUCCGAAUAUCCGAUUCUGGAUUGGUGCGACUACGGGAACGUUUGGCCAGUACCGUAUCAUUGCUGCCCUGUCCGGCCAGAGGCAGUUUUUUACUCUGGCUUAAGCGGGAACGAUCUCGUAUUCUUUCCCUAGAAGAGCUCGAUUCUUUAGUUCCAGAUGAAGUGCUACGCCUAGCCGUGGAACCUGCAACAGUUCUAGGUUUAUUUUCCAGAGUGCUCAUGGUUGUCCCUGUAGUUGAAGACACUGUUGAUGCACACGUGCUCUUUUUUGCCUUGACUCCAUUGGUCAUUGUCACUCCACCACCACUGGCCAUCCCUGCUAAGAGGUCAUCGUUGCUCUUAGUCUUCAAAAGGGAUGCCGAUGUCCCAGGUUUGGAGAGUUUUGUUACUGCAGACAGUGAGGAGCCGCUCUCCGGUUUGGUUUUUUCAGUUGUUUGAGUCUUAUUUACUCCAGGCACUUUGGGCACUGAGCCAACACUCCUGCUUGCUUUCUUCAUUCUGGGCUGUCUGUUUAUGAUGCAUUUACAAACAAAUCGGGCAGCCGCCUCCUCCUCCUUCCCGCGUCUUCGCGGCGCGGCCCGACGUGAGGUGACGGGGCCGGGCCGGGCCGGGCCGGGCCGCGCGCGCCGCCGGCGGGAGGCGGAGGGGGCGCGGAGGGGCGCGCGCGGACGGCAGGGAGCCCCCCCCCACCUCGCCCCGUCCCGCCCCUCGCGGGCGGUGCCGCCGCACUGCGCACGCGCCAGCCGUCCCCCUCUCGCGCCAACCCGGGGCCGAGCCGGCGCGUGCGCUGUGGCGACGCGCGCGCUCCUAUUGGCGGGCCGGGCCGGGCUCGUGCCGUGAGGCGCUGCGCAGCACCUGAGGGCGCGGCCGUAACGGCUGCAGCUCCAGAGCGGAGAGGUGGCUUGCCGCCUGCUGCUCCAGCACAGCUUGAUUACCUCUGCGGGGAAACGUUUCUUACGUAUUUAUGGGAUCAGGUUGCGAUGAAGGUGUCAUUCCCCAUCCUUUCCUCUCCGUGCUGGCGGGGGUUCCCCAGGAAGGCACGCAAGUGCUGCCUGGAAAAUGGAGGCGCCGCUCAGCCGGGUCUUUGUGAAGGGGAGAGCGGCUGGGAGCACCGACCUGGUCGUGAGGGGAGAGCUGACCCUGCCCAUGGCGAGCAGGCAGGGUGAGCAGAGGCCGGGGGAGGAGGCAGCCCUGGGUAUGCCGGUGCCACUCGGUGUGGUUGAAUACAGCAGUGCGUUUUGUGGUCCAGAGAGCCAUUUUACAGAAGGACUGCUGUGUGAUACACAUCCACCAUUGGUAAGAAGCGUUAGUAAUACCCAUCGAGUUCCCUUCCUUUCCCCAGCUCAGGGUGAAGGCACGACAUUUUCUUCUUGAUUUCCAUCUCACUUCAGUGCAGUUUUAACCACUGUGUUUUUUCCCCUCUGCUUUGGGAGCCCCACUCCACGACAAUCAAAGAACUGCCAAGGAGGCAUUUUUUCCUUUCAGGGGAUCUAUAUUUUAUGCUGAUUUUACUAAUUUACAUUACUCACUUAAACAGCAUUUGAUUGAAAGCACCAGGAGAACUUGACUGAAAUAACUGAUUCAAUUUGCACCUUGACGGCUACAGAACACGGACUUAAUGCAAUAUUUAAAGAGGCCAAAGCUGAUUCCAUAGCAAAUAUGUGAUGACAGCUGAAGUGCUCUGCACACAGAUGGAAGGCUGUGAGGUGUGAGGCUGGCUGUUAGUAAGGUAAUAUUCCUGGUAAGGGAUUAAUU
rnacentral:lncRNA from 1 species